rnacentral:rRNA from 1 species
UAUUGGUCAAUGGCCUAACGGCUGAACCGGCAAUUUGGAGGAAUGUAUAGGGAAAACUGGUAAAAUGUGAUGUACCUAGUAGUAUUAGUGAUAAAUAUGAGAUUAACUAAGUUAAUUAAAAUUCUAGGUGAGUAUUUGAUAAUGACAACGCUUAUUUAUUUCUUGACCAAGUCACGUGCCAGCAGUCGCGGUAAUACGUGGAAGAUUAGCGUUGUUCAUGUUUAACAGGUUUAAAGGGUACCCAGACGGUUGAUUUAUCUUUAAUUAGAAUUAAAUUAACUAGAGUUUAAUGUAAGAUUGAUUGAGUACGGUGAGUGUAGAGAUGAAAUUCAGUCAUACCCCUUAGGUACUGGCGAAGGCAAAAGCAACUUUUUAUGUAUAAACUGACGUUGAAGGACGAAGGA